AACGAACGCUGGCGGCAGGCCUAACACAUGCAAGUCGAGCGAGGACUUCGUUUCUAGCGGCGGACGGGUGAGUAACGCGUGGGAAUGUGCCCUUCUCUACGGAAUAGCCCUGGGAAACUGGGAGUAAUACCGUAUACGCCCUAUUGGGGAAAGAUUUAUCGGAGAAGGAUCAGCCCGCGUUGGAUUAGGUAGUUGGUGGGGUAAUGGCCUACCAAGCCGACGAUCCAUAGCGGGUUUGAGAGGAUGAUCAGCCACACUGGGACUGAGACACGGCCCAGACUCCUACGGGAGGCAGCAGUGGGGAAUCUUAGACAAUGGGGGCAACCAUGAUCGAGCCAUGCCGCGUGAGUGAUGAAGGCCUUAGGGUUGUAAAGCUCUUUCAGCUGGGAAGAUAAUGACGGUACCAGAAGAAGAAGCCCCGGCUAACUCCGUG
rnacentral:rRNA from 1 species